rnacentral:rRNA from 1 species
UACGUAGGCAGCAAGCGUUGUUCGGAGUUACUGGGCGUAAAGGGUGCGUAGGCGGCUUUUUAAGUUUGGUGUGAAAUCUCCCGGCUCAACUGGGAGGGUGCGCCGAAUACUGAGAGGCUAGAGUGUGGGAGAGGAAAGUGGAAUUCCUGGUAUAGCGGUGAAAUGCGUAGAUAUCAGGAGGAACACCGGUGGUGUAAACGGCUUUCUGGACCAUAACUGACGCUGAGGCACGAAAGCGUGGGUAGCAAACAGG